CUACGGGCUGCUCCAGUGGGGAAUAUUGGGCAAUGGGCGCAAGCCUGACCCAGCAACGCCGCGUGAGGGAAGAAGGUUUUCGGAUUGUAAACCUCUGUCCUUGGGGACGAAGAAGUGACGGUACCCAAGGAGGAAGCUCCGGCUAACUACGUGCCAGCAGCCGCGGUAAUACGUAGGGAGCAAGCGUUGUCCGGAAUUACUGGGCGUAAAGGGUGCGUAGGCGGCAUAUUAAGUCAGGUGUGAAAUACUCGGGCUCAACCCGGGGGCUGCAUUUGAAACUGAUAUGCUUGAGUGUGAGAGAGGAAAGUGGAAUUCCUAGUGUAGCGGUGGAAUGCGUAGAUAUUAGGAGGAACACCAGUGGCGAAGGCGACUUUCUGGCUCAUGACUGACGCUGAGGCACGAAAGCGUGGGGAGCAAACAGGAUUAGAUACCCUGGUAGUC
rnacentral:rRNA from 1 species